UACGGGGGGGGCAAGCGUUGUUCGGAAUUACUGGGCGUAAAGGGCUCGUAGGCGGCCAACUAAGUCAGACGUGAAAUCCCUCGGCUUAACCGGGGAACUGCGUCCGAUACUGGUUGGCUUGAGUUUGGGAGAGGGAUGCGGAAUUCCAGGUGUAGCGGUGAAAUGCGUAGAUAUCUGGAGGAACACCGGUGGCGAAGGCGGCAUCCUGGACCAAUACUGACGCUGAGGAGCGAAAGCCAGGGGAGCAAACGGG
rnacentral:rRNA from 1 species